rnacentral:rRNA from 1 species
GACGAACGCUGGCGGCAUGCUUAACACAUGCAAGUCGAACGGAAAGGCCCCGUUUGGGGUCGUCGUGUGGCGAACGGGGGUGUAACACGCCAGUAACCUUCCCUUGACUUCGGGAUAACUUCAGGAAAAUGGGGCUAAUUCCGGAUAGGAAUCCUUGCUGCAUGGUGGGGGUUGGCAAGCUUCGGCGGUUUUGGAUGAGCUGACGGCCUAUCAGCUUGUUGGUGGGGUAGUGGCUUACCAAGGCUGUGACGGGUAGCCGGCCCGGGAGGGCGACCGGCCACAUUGGGACUGAGAUACGGCCCCGACGCCGACGGGAGGAAGAAGGGGGGAAGAGUGAUCAAGGGGCGCGAGCCUGAUGCAGAAACGCCGCGGGCGGGAGAGCGGCCUACGGGUUGUGAAAGGAAUUCAGCAUGAGCGCAGCUUGUGGUGACGGUACCUGCAGAAUAAGCACCGGCUAACUACGUG